rnacentral:lncRNA from 1 species
CACAAAUGUAACACUAUGCCUCUAUUUCUAAAUAACCAAAUCUGUGCCAUGAUUUCUUUCAUACAUUAUUUGUUCAAUUUUAUUCUUUUUCUCCACAAUCAUGUUUUCUUUUCUGUCCAGGGACCAAUAGGACCUGCUGGACCUAAAGGAGAACUUGGCUUCCCAGGACGACCAGGCCGCCCAGGACUCAAUGGACUAAGAGGUGUGAAAGGUGAACGAGGUGAAGCAUUAAAUGGCAUGCCUGGCUUGCCUGGACCCCCAGGGCCCCCUGGACGUCCAGGACGUAUAGUUUACAUCAAAGGAGUAAGUACACUGAACAAACAGUUUCUGUUCUGUCUCUGUAGCAGAAAUGUGCUGUUCUUGAAAUGGUUUGCAAAGUGAAACCUCAAAACUUGUUUCAGGCUACAGCAUUUACUGUGGGCCACCUUGCUUGCAUGUGUAGGGAGAAAUCUCAUAACAAAAGUAUGGAGUAAUUGCCUGAGGUGACUCAGAAAUUAAAACUUAUAUUCUCGUUUUAAAGAAAAGGUACAGCAUCGAAGAAGCUUCCAGGGUGGAAUGUAGCUGCACCACACAGAAGUUCCUUAAGCUUCCAGCCUUAGAUGUUGAUCACACCAGGGGAACUUUGUGUGCUGACUCUAAGAGGAACUGUGUGGUGGGUGGGGCAGAGUGGAGACACCAUAGCCAGGAUCUGUGAUAAGAUGCGAACUUGAUUGUUCUUAUGCACACUGAAACCGAUAAGCUGCACAUUUGGUAUCCUGGGCCAACAGUCUGUCAUAUUUUUGACAAAAUGCUGUCCUUUUCGUGAACUUUACUCAUUAUAAUAUCAUUAUAAUACCAAAACACGCCUCCAUUCCAAAGGCUACCCACCUCCAAGGUGUAACCAUGCCUCACUGAGCUUGUGCUAAAAAAUUUUUCUAGUCUAUACCUUUAAAAGCAAAGAGAGAAAAUUUUGAACCAUUCAUAAAAAAGGUAUGCAUGGCUAGAGUCACUCAAACUCCACCUAAAAGCUAGAAAAUAAUAUAAAUUAGCUUAAGGGAGAGAGGAUGUUAGGGAUGAUGCUGUCAUGUAAGGAAAGAUACCUUCUGACUUCUGGGAUCAGUCAACUGACUGGGUAAGAUCUGAACACUUGGUUAUGCCAAGUGCCUCCCUAGGAAACUUAGAAAUCUUUAUAGAGUCACUUUAUAUCUUUUAACGUGUUUGUAGCCAGACUGUGUUACUCAUAUUUUUGGUAUUUGCACAUACUUUACAGACGGUGAAUUUAUCACCAGCAAUCCAAAGAACCUGUGUACCUGUUCUUUCAAUAAAUUGUACAACUCAUUAAUCUAGCUGUGGUAGUUCUGGUUGAACAUGACCAAACUCUUUAAGUGUGGCUGUGGCUGUGGUAGUUCAUGGAACGCAACAAGACUGAGGGUGUAUUAUGUUAUUUGUGCAUCCAUAAUAGUGAUAGUUCAGUACCCUGAAUGUGACAGACAUAAUGACUAAUUGGGCAUCACUCUGAAUUACUUUAGGCUUUAACACUACAAAGAGUUACUGUGAUGUAAGAGCUUUGCCUCAUACAUAUAGACUGGGACAUGCUGCAACUCUGUUCUUAUGAACAGAAUUCAUUCACCUGGUCUCAUGACAGACAUGAAGACUGGAACACACAAUAAUAAGUACUGAGAGAGAUCUCAGAUGACUGGAGACUUGAAAACAUGAUACCCAUCUAUAAGGGCCAUAAGGAGGACCCGGGGAACUACAGGCCUGUCAGCCUGACCUCGGUGCCAGGAAAGGUGAUGGAGCAGGUCAUCCUGAAUGCAAUCACACAGCAUACACAGGACAACCAGGUCCAGCCAGCAUGGGUUCAUGAAAGGCAAGUCCUGCCUGACCAACCUCAUCUGCUUCUAUGUGACCCAUCUGGUGGAUGAGGGAAAGGUUGUAGUCUGCCCAGACUUCAGCAAAUCCUUUGACACAGUCUCCCACAGUAUUCUCCUGGAGACACUGGCAGCCCAUGACUUGGACAGGUACACUCUUUGCUGGGUUAAAAACUGGCUGGAUGGCUGGGCCUAGAGAAUAGUGGUAAAUGGAAUGAAAUCCAGCUGGUGACCGACCAGUCACAAGUGGUGUUCCUCAGGGGUCAGUGUUGGGGCCCAUCCUCUUUAAUAUCUUAGUGAUGUGAGAAAAAUCUCAAUAAUUUUUUCAGACAGGGUCUUCUGUGAAGCUAUUUUAUUUGCAAGUGCAAUGGUGGGCAUCCUGCAAGCAGGAGCACCUAGUAAAGGUCUAUAUACACCAUAACAUUAUAUUCCCUAUUACCCAACGCUUGAUUCCUCCCGUUUCUUCAUUGGCUGAGUACUACAGGUUCACAAACUACUCGACGCCUUUCUAUACCACACAUGUACAAUUUUAUUUGACCAAACGUUAAUUUCUUCUUUUCCCUUUUUUUUUGUUUUUCUUUCUUCUGUCAUGACCAGAGGGCCCGUGAUUUUUGUUUUUACUGAUUUCACACUGCUUGUCCUGUUUUUCUUAGCUAUCCUCUCUUCAAUAUUUUCUCUUCAAUAUCUUUAUAAAUUAUCUGGAUGAGGGGAUUGAGUACACCCUCAGUACGUUUGCAGAUGAUGCCAAGUUAGGUGUAUGUGUUGAUCUGCUCAAGUGUAGGAAGGCUCUGCAGGAGGAUCUGGAUAGGCUAAACUGAUGGGCUGAGGCCAACUGAAUGAGGUUCAACAAGGCCAAGUGCCAGGUCCUGCACCUGGGGCACAACAACCCAAAGCAGUGCUACAGGCUGGGAGAUGAGUGGCCAGAAAACUGCCAGGCAGAGAAGUUCCUAAGAGUAUUGGUUGAUAGUCGGCUGAACAUGAGCCAGCAGUGUGCUCAGUUGGCCAAGAAGGCCAACAACAUCCUGGCUUGUAUCAGAAACAGCAUAGCCAGCAGGACAAGGGAAGUGAUUGUCCCCUUGUACUCUGAUCUGGUGAGGCAGCACGUUGAGUGCACGUUGAGUGUUUAGUUUUGGGCCCCUCUCUAUAGGAAGGACAUCAAGGUGCUCAAGCGUGUCCAGAGAAGGGCAAUGAAACUGUUGAGGGGUCUAGAACAUGAGUCUUAUGAGAAGAGGCUGACAUAGCUGGGGUUGUUUAGCCUGGAGAAGAGGAGGCUUAGGGGUGACCUUAUUGCUCCCUACAACUAUCUGAAAGGAAUUUGUGGGGAGCUGGGAGUCAGCCGCUUCUCACAGAUAGCUAGUCAUAAGACAGGAGGGAAUCACCUCAAGUUGUGCCAGGAGAGGUUUAGGUUAGAAAUUAGGAGACAUUUCUUCUCAGAAAGAGUAUCAGGCAUUGAAAUACGUUGCCCAGGGGGGUGGUGAUGUUCAACGAAAGGCUCAACCUGGUGCACAGGGACAUGGUUUAGUGGGUAACAUUGGUGGUAGGGGGACAGUUGGACCAGAUGAUCUUGGAGGUCUUUUCCAACCUUAAUGUUUCUAUGAUUCUAUGCUGACAGAACCAUGAGAGCUCCCAGGAAGAAAACAGGACUCUGUGAGGUGCUGUUUUUUACUUUCAAGUUUUGUCUUGUCACGUCUAUUAGAUCUAACUGUUUGGUGUGUUUGCUGGAAUAUUAUUGCCUACAUUCAUUAAACUUAUUUCCCUUCUUAUUUUCAAUAGACAGUUUUCCCAGUAUCUCGCAGACCUCAUUGCAAGAUGACAGUAAGUCACACACAGAAUUUGCUCUUAGCAAGAUGCAUGCCCAUGACAAUACAUAACCAAAACAGCUACAUGCAUAACUACAGUAUCUCUGCAGCUUUACUCCCCCUGCCUUCUGCUGUUCACCAGGGAGAUGUUUUACCUAGUCUUCAAGAUAACAGAUUUUCAAAUGUUUAAAUAUUCCAAGUUAGCCACAUAUAUAUAACAGAACUAACUGGAACCUUUUGCUUAAAGCACUUUGAUUACUUGGUUGUCCGAACUCUUUUAAUGGCUUUCAGAGCUCCAUGUUUCCAUAGAUUGAGAGUUGCUUUGGGGAGCAAAUAUUUAUACGUACAUGUACAUGCAUCUUUCAGAAGUACAUAUAAAUAAUGUCUCCACAUUGUUAUGUCUUUUGCUGUUUUCAAUUUCCCCGUCCAAAAUAAGACACCUUAUAUAUUUCAGUCUGGCAUAAAAAGUGCAUCAGAAAAGAAAAAUCACAGUCUGUAUUUGACCCUCAAUUGCAGACUAUUCACAUAUAAUUCAUGACUGGAGUGUUGUAAUGGAAGCAUACAGGCUCUUUAGGAAGGACAGGCAGGGGAGAUGAGGAGGGGAUAUCAACAGAUAUAAACCACCCCGAUAUCUGUUGGAGAGACAACACAGCAAGCCAUAAGCAAUCCAAAAGGUUCCCAGAAGGUAUUGAUGAUAAUUUCCUUC